rnacentral:misc_RNA from 1 species
ACAAACUUGGUCAUUUAGAGGAAGUAAAAGUCGUAACAAGGUUUCCGUAGGUGAACCUGCGGAAGGAUCAUUAUCGAAUUGUUAAUAACUUGGUUGUCGCUGGCUUUCGAGAGAGAGCAUGUGCACGCCCGGUUUAAACUCUUCACUUUAACCUCCUGUGCACUUUUGUGGAUUUGUGGAUUGGAUAUUUUAUCAAAGUAACAUUUGGUCUUGGGAGUUUGGGCUUUCGAGCUUUUAUUCUCCUGCAUCUAAUUCCGCAGAUUCAUGUCUUUUUUACAAACUAUUAUUACAACUUUGAAUGUUUUAAUGAGUUGGGAAACUUUUGUAACCCUUCUUAAAUUUUAUACAACUUUCAACAACGGAUCUCUUGGCUCUCGCAUCGAUGAAGAACGCAGC